GAUCCAGCAUUGCUGUGGCUGUGGUUUAGGCUGACAGCUGCAGCUGGGAUUCCACUCCUAGCCUGGGAACUUCCAUAUGCUGCAGGUGUGGCCAUAAAAAGAAAAAAACAAGAUUCAGAUUAUUCUGAAAGAGAGAAAGCCACUACAGUGAGUCAAAUGUACAUUUUUUAAAGCUCAGUUUCCAUAUGGUAGAAGUAGACUGGUUGGAGGAACCGAGAGGUUAGAUAGGGACUUUUGAUCCUGCAGUGUCUUAAACCCUAAUAGAAUCUCUGGGAAGAGCACAGGGAAACCGUGCAUGGUUUCCUCUCCAGGCACCGCCCCCUCGCCCAGGGCCCUGCCCACCUACCAUCAGGCCCCUCCCCUCCCCAUUAAGUUCCUAUUAUCUCGCCUGGGGCCCUCGCCAUCUCACUCAGGCCCUGCCUACUCCUCAGCCAGACCCAGGCGCUCCUCAGGAGGUCCCGGGCCCACCAAACUCCGCGGAUUUGUGCACAUAACGAGUAGUUAAGAGAGCCGGAGCUCUUGGAAAGCUUCAUAGAGGAGGUGGCUUAGAAGUGGGCUUUGAAAGCCGAGUUCACCAAGCAGAGAAGUGGGGAUUCAUCUUUCCAGAGUAGCUGGGGCAGGUGUGAAGGAGCACAUCAGGUGUUCAGGGAAUUCAGGCAAUUAGAUACAGUUAACAUUUUCCUGAGCCACCAUUUCCCUCUAUUUAGCAUGUGACCUGAUAUCUGAGAAAAGCUCAACUAUGGAAUGAAAAACCAGGAAUGGAUGUCCUCCAAAUUUUAAUUUUCUUCUCAGUUAUACUAGCCUUUACAAAGCUGUUGUGAAAAAUGAGAUGACCAGAAGAAAUUCACCUUUCAGUGGCAGCUGCCACUAACACACAGAAGCACUCAUUCAAGAUGGCUUAAAGGAGACAGUGACUCAAUG